ACGGGGGUUGCAAGCGUUGUCCGGAAUUACUAGGCGUAAAGGGCAGGUAGGCGGAUAGAUAAGUUUGAUGUUUAAGGCGACGGCUUACCCGUCGUAAGGCAUCAGAUACUGUUUAUCUGGAAUGCGGUUGGGGAAGACAGAAUUCCUGGUGUAGCGGUGAAAUGCGCAGAGAUCAGGAGGAAUACCGAAGGCGAAGGCAGUCUUAUAGGCUGAAAUUGACGCUAAACUGCGAAAGUGUGGGUAUCAAACAG
rnacentral:rRNA from 1 species